CACGUGUGUGUGUGUGUGUGUGUGUGUGUGUGUGUGUAUAUAUAGGGGUGUGUACACACACACACACACACACACACACACACACACACACACAC
rnacentral:miRNA from 1 species